rnacentral:lncRNA from 1 species
UGUGGGUCUUCUGUAUGCUGAAGUUCCAAGCAAUGCCUUUCUUAUUUCUCUAUCUUACAUGAAGUCGUCUAAAUGACUUUUUCUCAAUUUUAUUUCUUUUUCCAGCUUCUUCCACCUUUCACAGGAGAAAGAAAGCAUAAAAACAAUUUUCUUGAUGUGUGUGCUGUUGUGGUGCAUUGUGAGAUGAAAUUCUCCAGGCUCUACAUUUAUUCCAGCACCUGUUAGGACAUCAGAAGGCUGUAUAUAUGGUCUUCCCUUCAGCUCUAUCCCACCAGGAGGUACCCACCUGGUUUGUCUCAUAUGCUGGAAGUAAAAUGUAGUAGAAAAAUUGUGUAUCCAGAUGGACCUUCCCAGGUAUUGACAAGGAGCAGACAGUCCAGUCAACUUUUUGUUUAGAAAAGGAA